rnacentral:lncRNA from 1 species
GACGCUGCUUUGACUUUAUAGGAGUCUAUAGUUGACUUUUAAGUUAGAAACUUGGUCAACAAGUUAGCCAUGUGCCACGCAUGUUGGAAGCUUAAAGAACAAGCUAACUACGUGGUCUAUCCAUAGAAAACUUGCCUUACAAGCAAAGGCAUGUGGCCUAGAAAGUCAACAUAUAUUGGAGGUCUUAUAGAACAUCGCCACGUGGCUUCUAGUUAGAU